rnacentral:piRNA from 1 species
UAGGAUUCAAACGCACGGGCAGUGUCU